rnacentral:tRNA from 1 species
UGUUAUGGCUCAGUAGGUAGAGCACCACCUUGGUAAGGUGGAGGUCCCGGGUUCGAAUCCCGGUAA